UCNNGGAAUUUANGCCNNNNUAACCCAAUNCAAUACAACUUUCAGCAACGGNUCUUUUGGCUCUCGCAUCGAUGAAGAACGCAGCGAAAUGCGAUAAGUAAUGUGAAUUGCAGAAUUCAGUGAAUCAUCGAAUCUUUGAACGCACCUUGCGCCCUUUGGCUAUUCCGAAGGGCAUGCCUGUUUGAGUAUCAUGAACACCUCAACUCUCAUGGCUUGCCAUGAUGAGCUUGGACUUAUGGGGGUCUUGCUGGCUUAUGGUCGGCUCCUCUCAAAUGAAUCAGCUUGCCAGUGUUUGGUGGCGUCACAGGUGUGAUAACUAUCUACGCUUGUGGUUUCCCGCCAGGUAACCUUCAGCAAUGGAGAUUCGCUGGGGCUCNAUAAAAGUCUCUCCUCGGUGAGGACA
rnacentral:sRNA from 1 species